UGAAACAACAGAGUGGGUUUAUCACGACAGCUGCAACAACAGAGGUAACCGUGAAUUAUACAUUUUAUUUCAUGCCAUCUUGAGAAAGCCAAAUACCAAAUACUCCAUACAUGGACAUCAUCAUCAGGGUAUCAGAAAAUUGUACACAGUCACAUACAAUGUAAUAUAUAAAAUGUGUGUGUUUGUUUUUUCCUCCUGAAGGAAAAAAUAAAACUCUCAAAUGUCUCUCACUCAUUUGACAAGUGUGUUUUUCUCUGGG